UGAACCCCAUGGAGAAAAGCCCAAUGGGGUCUCACAGAAAUACAAGCUCAUGACCACAAAGAAUAACAGUAAUGGAGAUCCCAGAUACCCACCAGAAGAAACUGAUCAGAAGAGAAAGUUCAAUGGAGAAGACGAUGAUGCAGACAGUGACACCAGCUCUGAUCUGUUUGAUUUACCCAACAGUGAACUGCUUAUGGACUUCUACUCCUCAAGUGGUUUGCCUGUUUAUGAAACCACCAAAAUGGAUAGCAUCAAGAGAAGUGCACCAAUUUCCACUGCCGCAAUUUGAUACUAGGAUUGUUAGGUCGCGGCUUGGAGAGCGAGUCCAAUGUCCUGUCAUCAAACUGGGGUUCAAUUCGGUUGAGACUGGUAGGUGUUGGGAGGGGAUUGUUAGGUGCGACUGAAGAGUCAGUCCAGCAUCUAUCAUCGAAACGUGGCAGACAUAGGGGUGUGGAAUAUUGGGCCAACUUAAACCAUGCUUCCUGACUUAGCUAAUGUGUUGUAAGGUUUGUUUCUGAACUUUUUUUUUUUUUUUUAAUGUAAUGGUAGAUUAUAUUUAUUGCGUGACAAUGUUUAUUUU